rnacentral:rRNA from 1 species
UUAAGCUCUCUAGCGCCGAUGGUAGUUGGGACCUUGUCCCUGUGAGAGUAGGACGUUGCCAGGCAAUCCGGAGGAUUAGCUCAGCUGGGAGAGCACCUGCCUUACAAGCAGGGGGUCGGCGGUUCGAUCCCGUCAUCCUCCACCAUUUAGCCGACUUAGCUCAAUUGGUAGAGCAACUGACUUGUAAUCAGUAGGUUGGGGGUUCAAGUCCUCUAGUCGGCACCAGUUUUUAUUGUAAGAGCCAUUAGCUCAGUUGGUAGAGCAUCUGACUUUUAAUCAGAGGGUCGAAGGUUCGAGUCCUUCAUGGCUCACCAUUUUAAUUAAUAUGCGGGUGUGGCGGAAUUGGCAGACGCACUAGACUUAGGAUCUAGCGCCUUUGGCGUGGGGGUUCGACUCCCUUCACCCGCACUUUUAAUAAAAUAUCUCAAACAUGUCUUGCGGAAGUAGUUCAGUGGUAGAAUACAACCUUGCCAAGGUUGGGGUCGCGGGUUCGAAUCCCGUCUUCCGCUCCAAUUUUCAAUAUGACAUGCCGGGGUGGCGGAACAGGCAGACGCACAGGACUUAAAAUCCUGCGGUGGGUGACCACCGUGCGGGUUCGACCCCCGCCCUCGGCACCAUAUGCGCCCGUAGCUCAAUUGGAUAGAGCGUUUGACUACGGAUCAAGAGGUUAGGGGUUCGACUCCUNAGCCCGUUAAUGGGUGAGAGCGUGCCUUUUGUAGAAUGAACCGGCGAGUUACGUUAUGAUGCGAGGUUAAGUUGAAGAGACGGAGCCGUAGGGAAACCGAGUCUGAAUAGGGCGCCUUAGUAUCAUGACGUAGACCCGAAACCAUGUGACCUACCCAUGAGCAGGUUGAAGGUGCGGUAAGACGCACUGGAGGACCGAACCAGGGCACGUUGAAAAGUGCUUGGAUGACUUGUGGGUAGCGGAGAAAUUCCAAACGAACUUGGAGAUAGCUGGUUCUCUCCGAAAUAGCUUUAGGGCUAGCGUCGACAUUAGAGAUUCUUGGAGGUAGAGCACUGUUUGGGUGAGGGGUCCAUCCCGGAUUACCAAUCUCAGAUAAACUCCGAAUGCCAAUGAAUUAUGGUCGGCAGUCAGACUGCGAGUGCUAAGAUCCGUAGUCGAAAGGGAAACAGCCCAGACCACCAGCUAAGGUCCCAAAAUAAUUGUUAAGUGGAAAAGGAUGUGGGGUUGCACAGACAACUAGGAUGUUAGCUUAGAAGCAGCUAUUCAUUCAAAGAGUGCGUAAUAGCUCACUAGUCGAGUGACCCUGCGCCGAAAAUGUACCGGGGCUAAAACAAUUUACCGAAGCUGUGGAUACCUUUAUAGGUAUGGUAGGAGAGCGUUCUAUGUGUGAUGAAGGUAUACCGUGAGGAGUGCUGGAACGCAUAGAAGUGAGAAUGCCGGUAUGAGUAGCGAAAGACAGGUGAGAAUCCUGUCCACCGUAAGACUAAGGUUUCCAGGGGAAGGCUCGUCCGCCCUGGGUUAGUCGGGACCUAAGGAGAGACCGAAAGGUGUAUCCGAUGGACAACAGGUUGAUAUUCCUGUACUAGAGUAUGUAGUGAUGGAGGGACGCAGUAGGCUAACUAAAGCAGACGAUUGGAAGAGUCUGUCUAAGCAGUGAGGUGUGAAUUGAGUCAAAUGCUUAAUUCUAUAACAUUGAGCUGUGAUGGGGAGCGAAGUUUAGUAGCGAAGUUAGUGACGUCACACUGCCAAGAAAAGCUUCUAGCGUUUAAACAUACUCUACCCGUACCGCAAACCGACACAGGUAGUCGAGGCGAGUAGCCUCAGGUGAGCGAGAGAACUCUCGUUAAGGAACUCGGCAAAAUGACCCCGUAACUUCGGGAGAAGGGGUGCUGACUUAAAGUCAGCCGCAGUGAAUAGGCCCAAGCAACUGUUUAUCAAAAACACAGCUCUCUGCUAAAUCGUAAGAUGAUGUAUAGGGGGUGACGCCUGCCCGGUGCUGGAAGGUUAAGAGGAGUGCUUAGCGUAAGCGAAGGUAUGAAUUGAAGCCCCAGUAAACGGCGGCCGUAACUAUAACGGUCCUAAGGUAGCGAAAUUCCUUGUCGGGUAAGUUCCGACCCGCACGAAAGGCGUAAUGAUUUGGGCACUGUCUCAACGAGAGACUCGGUGAAAUUUUAGUACCUGUGAAGAUGCAGGUUACCCGCGACAGGACGGAAAGACCCCAUGGAGCUUUACUGCAGUUUGAUAUUGAGUGUCUGUACCACAUGUACAGGAUAGGUAGGAGUCUAAGAGAUCGGGACGCCAGUUUCGAAGGAGACGCUGUUGGGAUACUACCCUUGUGUUAUGGCCACUCUAACCCAGAUAGGUGAUCCCUAUCGGAGACAGUGUCUGACGGGCAGUUUGACUGGGGCGGUCGCCUCCUAAAAGGUAACGGAGGCGCCCAAAGGUUCCCUCAGAAUGGUUGGAAAUCAUUCGCAGAGUGUAAAGGUAUAAGGGAGCUUGACUGCGAGAGCUACAACUCGAGCAGGGACGAAAGUCGGGCUUAGUGAUCCGGUGGUUCCGUAUGGAAGGGCCAUCGCUCAACGGAUAAAAGCUACCCUGGGGAUAACAGGCUUAUCUCCCCCAAGAGUCCACAUCGACGGGGAGGUUUGGCACCUCGAUGUCGGCUCAUCGCAUCCUGGGGCUGUAGUCGGUCCCAAGGGUUGGGCUGUUCGCCCAUUAAAGCGGUACGCGAGCUGGGUUCAGAACGUCGUGAGACAGUUCGGUCCCUAUCCGUCGUGGGCGUAGGAAAUUUGAGAGGAGCUGUCCUUAGUACGAGAGGACCGGGAUGGACGCACCGCUGGUGUACCAGUUGUUCUGCCAAGGGCAUAGCUGGGUAGCUAUGUGCGGAAGGGAUAAGUGCUGAAAGCAUCUAAGCAUGAAGCCCCCCUCAAGAUGAGAUUUCCCAUAGCGUAAGCUAGUAAGAUCCCUGAAAGAUGAUCAGGUUGAUAGGUUCGAGGUGGAAGCAUGGUGACAUGUGGAGCUGACGAAUACUAAUAGAUCGAGGACUUAACCAU